GCCGAUGUAGCCCAACGGAAGAGGCGCCGCGUUCAGAACGCGGAGAGUGCGGGUUCGAAUCCUGCUAUCGGCA
rnacentral:tRNA from 1 species